rnacentral:other from 1 species
UAGCUCCUGGGAUGCGCGACAGUGUGUCGUUUUUCCCCACAUUUCAUAAAAUGGACCCGGAGUCCGGUGGUGGAUGUCAUGCCUCCGUCUUAUGACGCCAGAGGACGGCAGAAGCCUCAGGCAGGGGACCAGCCUGCUUUAACAGCGGGUGAAAAUACGAUGUGCAUCGGCAUUUCGGGGCAAG